rnacentral:rRNA from 1 species
UUUAUGGAGAGUUUGAUCCUGGCUCAGGAUGAACGCUGGCGGCGUGCCUAAUACAUGCAAGUCGAGCGAACGGACGAGAAGCUUGCUUCUCUGAUGUUAGCGGCGGACGGGUGAGUAACACGUGGAUAACCUACCUAUAAGACUGGGAUAACUUCGGGAAACCGGAGCUAAUACCGGAUAAUAUUUUGAACCGCAUGGUUCAAAAGUGAAAGACGGUCUUGCUGUCACUUAUAGAUGGAUCCGCGCUGCAUUAGCUAGUUGGUAAGGUAACGGCUUACCAAGGCAACGAUGCAUAGCCGACCUGAGAGGGUGAUCGGCCACACUGGAACUGAGACACGGUCCAGACUCCUACGGGAGGCAGCAGUAGGGAAUCUUCCGCAAUGGGCGAAAGCCUGACGGAGCAACGCCGCGUGAGUGAUGAAGGUCUUCGGAUCGUAAAACUCUGUUAUUAGGGAAGAACAUAUGUGUAAGUAACUGUGCACAUCUUGACGGUACCUAAUCAGAAAGCCACGGCUAACUACGUGCCAGCAGCCGCGGUAAUACGUAGGUGGCAAGCGUUAUCCGGAAUUAUUGGGCGUAAAGCGCGCGUAGGCGGUUUUUUAAGUCUGAUGUGAAAGCCCACGGCUCAACCGUGGAGGGUCAUUGGAAACUGGAAAACUUGAGUGCAGAAGAGGAAAGUGGAAUUCCAUGUGUAGCGGUGAAAUGCGCAGAGAUAUGGAGGAACACCAGUGGCGAAGGCGACUUUCUGGUCUGUAACUGACGCUGAUGUGCGAAAGCGUGGGGAUCAAACAGGAUUAGAUACCCUGGUAGUCCACGCCGUAAACGAUGAGUGCUAAGUGUUAGGGGGUUUCCGCCCCUUAGUGCUGCAGCUAACGCAUUAAGCACUCCGCCUGGGGAGUACGACCGCAAGGUUGAAACUCAAAGGAAUUGACGGGGACCCGCACAAGCGGUGGAGCAUGUGGUUUAAUUCGAAGCAACGCGAAGAACCUUACCAAAUCUUGACAUCCUUUGACAACUCUAGAGAUAGAGCUUUCCCCUUCGGGGGACAAAGUGACAGGUGGUGCAUGGUUGUCGUCAGCUCGUGUCGUGAGAUGUUGGGUUAAGUCCCGCAACGAGCGCAACCCUUAAGCUUAGUUGCCAUCAUUAAGUUGGGCACUCUAAGUUGACUGCCGGUGACAAACCGGAGGAAGGUGGGGAUGACGUCAAAUCAUCAUGCCCCUUAUGAUUUGGGCUACACACGUGCUACAAUGGACAAUACAAAGG